rnacentral:rRNA from 1 species
UACGGAGGGUGCAAGCGUUAAUCGGAAUUACUGGGCGUAAAGCGUGCGUAGGCGGUUCGUUAAGUCUGUUGUGAAAGCCCCGGGCUCAACCUGGGAAUGGCAAUGGAUACUGGCGAGCUAGAGUGUGUCAGAGGAUGGUGGAAUUCCCGGUGUAGCGGUGAAAUGCGUAGAGAUCGGGAGGAACAUCAGUGGCGAAGGGCGGCCAUCUGGGACAACACUGACGCUGAGGCACGAAAGCGUGGGGAGCAAACAGG